GGAGGACUUUUCGUCCAAUGAAGCUCUUUGCGGUCACUUUCCAGUCCAGUAAAGGUCGAAGCUUGCAACGGUGAUCCACCUCUCAGUACGAUCGCACUGGUGAGGGAGCAGCUGAAAACCGACCUCGUUCUCCUGCCUCCUCUCGUCGACAGCUGUGUAGGCAUGGAGCAAUUGCGGCACUCUUCCUCCUGAUUGACUUGUGCUUCUUCCCGGGGGUUUCGCGUCAUUUGCAUCUUCUUCCUCAAUCGAUCUGUUCCCGCUAUUUGCUCGGAGUUCACUCGCGCAUUAGAUCUCUGACAGUGGAUGCUGUAAAAAUUGAAGCUUGGUGGGGGAAAGGGUUUCUUUUUAGGUUUGAAGGAGGGAAAGGGAAAUGGAGGCGAGAACGAGAAGGUAUGCGCCGCAAGCGGGCCCGGAGAGGACCAAAGUGUGGACUGAGCCGCCUCCCAAAUUCUCCUCCCAGCAGCAGCAUGGGAGCAAGGUGCCUGUUGUCUAUUACCUCUGCCGUAAUCGCCACCUCGAGCACCCGCACUUCAUGGAAGUCCCGCUUUCGUCCUCCGACGGCCUCUACCUCAAAGAUGUGAUUGAUAGGCUCAAUCUGCUGAGGGGAAGGAAGAUGGCCACCAUGUAUUCUUGGUCUUGCAAGAGGAGCUACAAGAAUGGAUUUGUUUGGCAUGACCUUUCGGAGGAUGAUUUGAUCUUUCCAGUGCAGGGGAAUGAGUAUGUACUCAAGGGUUCAGAGCUCCUAGAUCAAACCCCACCAGAUCGGAAUAGUGAAGGUGUAAGCAAUACAAAGAUCCAGAAUCCUAGACGGGCAUUGCAAGACCCGCCGCCUAUUUGUCGUAAAGUCCAGGAGGCUUCUGGUUCUUUGUCUCCGACGACAGUGGUUGUGAUUAAGGAGGCCAAAAUGGCCCCACCGCCAGUGCAACCAUCUCCUGUCCAAGGAGACGAUCAAUCACUGCCGACACGUAGAUCAGUCUCCUCACCAGGUUAUGAUACUAGAUCUGCCCCGUCAUCACCAGCAGAGUACAGGAUAUGCAAGCCCAUCAAACCUGAGGAUGGUUCAACUGAAACCGAUGAUGAUCGAGGAGGAAGGACAUGUGAAUCGAAUGUCCGAGUUGUUGGUGUCUCAACUGAUGAUAAGCCUCGGUGUACUGACUCUGAUGAGAGCCGAAGUGAACACUCUGUGUGUUUGAAGGAGGAGCCAGAGAUAGUUAAAGUUGAGAGAUCCCCUCCACCAACUUAUUCAAGUGCUUCUUCUUCAUGCGGGAAGAUGAAUACCUUGGAGUGUUUGAUGCGAGAUGAAGCGAGUAAACGGUUUAACUGUGAGAUUGUCGAAGAGGAAGUUUUCUUCCCAACUGAAACAAAGCUCAAAGCAACGAAUAUGCUCAUGCACCUAAUUACUUGUGGGUCAAUCUCUGUUAAAGACCAUUAUAGCUUUGGAUUUGUGCCAUCUUAUAAGCCAAAGUUAGUUAAUGUGAAUCUCACGCCACCAAUGUUCGCCAAUUCAAUGAUUCCAGGGAAGAUCGACUGCUUGUCAGAGAGCCAAAGAGAGAUCAGCUUGGGAUUUAAAAAGAAAGAACAUACCCGUAAGAGGUCAAUCAAAACAAACAAGAACAAGGAGACAACCGGGGAAGGAGCUCCUAACGGUAACCAAUCACCUUCCUUUGAUGAGAACAGGAGCUGCAACAUGGCUUAUUUUAGAGGAGAUGAAGAGAAAGUAGUCGACUCAACCCAAUCUAAUUGUCUUCCUAGGACACAGAUAAUUCCAUCCGGCAAGCAUUCAAGGAAUGAUAUAAUAAACACCUCGACUGGACCAGAAAUAUGCAAAUCCUCUCCAUGCAGUUCAUCAAAUGGUGGAAGUAGGAGGAUUCUCGAUAGCUCGUCAAUCAAAGGAUCUUCAUCCAGGAGGCUAGAGUCUUUCCGAGAGGAGCAAGAGAAGAUGAUCACCAUCGAAGAAAGGCUUACUUCUGGAGCUCGGGUUAUAAUCCAGUCUAGCUCAUGUUGCGAUGAUACUGAAGAUAUCUCUGAUUGACUACGAGAAUGUUAACAUGUCGUCGCUUGUGUUCAAUAUCUGUUUUCUUUGCAGGAUUUAAGUACUACUAUUCUUAAGUUGAAACCAAGAUUGACCGUGACAAUGCUACAAUUUCUGGAACUAGCCGCAAGGGGCUUGUUUUUGGUUGUUAAGAGCUUCGCGAUGACGAUAAACUUAGAAAGAACAAUGCAAAGCAGUAGGAGCCGAGCAAAUACACUUAUUCAAAGUGAUCACCUUCAAGAUACCUCUUGACAUCAAAUGAACUGUCCUAGAGCAGUAAGUGGAUCUUAUUCUUGAGAUGAACUUCCAAAAUAUCAACUGAACUAUUUUGUUCUUCCAUUUACGCUCCUAGACCACUUUGAACUUCAAUAUGUAUGAGUACGUUGUCGGGUGAACAUGUUGGGUUAGUCGAGCAGGCUUGCUUGUCGAGCCGAUUUAGGCUAUGUUAGUUUGAUGUUCUGCAUCCCUUGGCCUUUG